rnacentral:rRNA from 1 species
GAUUAACGCUAGCGGCAGGCAUAAUACAUGCAAGUUGAACGGCAGCACAGGUAGCAAUACUGGGUGGCGAGUGGCGCACGGGUGCGUAACACGUAUGCAACCUACCCUAUACAGGCGAAUAACCUUUAGAAAUGAGGGCUAAUACGCCGUAGUAUUACAGAUGGGCAUCUAUUUGUAAUUAAAGAUUUAUCGGUAUAGGAUGGGCAUGCGUCCCAUUAGUUAGUUGGUAAGGUAACGGCUUACCAAGACGAUGAUGGGUAGGGGAUCUGAGAGGACUUACCCCCACACUGGUACUGAGACACGGACCAGACUCCUACGGGAGGCAGCAGUAAGGAAUAUUGGGCAAUGGCCGCGAGGCUGACCCAGCCAUGCCGCGUGCAGGAAGACGGCCUUAUGGGUUGUAAACUGCUUUUAUACGGGAAUAAUAGAGUGUACGCGUACAUUUAUGCAAGUAUCGUAUGAAUAAGCAUCUGCUAACUCCGUG